UUGAAGUAUUUUUUGUUUGUUCUCAGACGACUUGUUUAUUAGAGUUUGGUGGUCCAUCGACGGGCUCUCAAGGGCCCGAAAGCCAGAGGCGUGAUCCCUAACCGUUUGGGGAGAGGGGGACCGCGGCCCGCCGAGGCAACAUCGUUCGUAGACAUGGGGUUGGGAGGUCGGGCGCCCGAAAGGCACCCUGAACUCGGUAAUGAUCCUUCCGCAGGUUCACCUACGGAAA
rnacentral:misc_RNA from 1 species